GAUGCUGGUGGUGGCACCCCUGGUGUCCAGGGUGGGGUUCAAGUCCCUGCAGCAUC
rnacentral:sRNA from 1 species